ACAUGGAACCUUGCCUCGAAAUUAUUCAAGCAGCACGAGGGCUGGGUUAGAAAGCAAUGAAGCAAUGUGAACGGGGAGCAACGUAGGGUUUGUAGGGGGAGGAAGAGCCAAGGCAACGUCCCUCUCAACACUGCUCCAAAGCCCCCAACAAAUAAAGGCUACUGUUGCUGAUCCCCCAAAGCCGAAGACACUCGUCUUCUAUCAGUCACAUUAACCAAGGUGCUCUUGCCCCCUUGCAUCGCAUAAGAAAAAAGAAACGAGGGACAAGAGGGGACGAUAGAGAGAGAGAGAGAGAGAGCGAGAGUGUGUGGAGAGAGAGAAAGAGACGGCUGGUCAAAUGACAAACUGAUUGAGAACUUUCAAGCACUUUCUCUCUCCACCCCGCUUUAAAAACACAGCCUUGUCUACAGUGCAGUAGCAAACUGCAGUUUUUGGUCUCAAAGCACCACACCCUCUCGUCCAUCUCCUUGGCUUUCAUUUUUUGUUUCCCUUCAGCUGGACGCUUCUUGUUCCGCUUUCUUCUCCUUAGCUGCAAUACCAUGUAAAGUUCUAUACCAUCCUUUAAACUUCUCUUACCUAUUCUCGUUUGAUGAUGAAGAACCAUGAUGAGUUGGGUGCAGGAGACUAGAAGGGAACCCGCUAGACCUCAAUAGCUUGCCAGAGGAACAUGGUAAGCAACCGCUAGAGGAAAGCUCGAUGACUACUGCAGCUUCCGCUGACAUUACGCGUAAGUAGGAAUCGACAAGGAAGAAAGUUUAAGCAGUGAUGUGAUCUAGAUUGGAACAUUUGUCUAAUGAGGACUGAGAAAUUGAAUACAACAGAGGGGGGAAAGAACAAAAACAGAGAGAAAGAAAAGUUAUUGCCAUUAUUACUCGCCACCUAACCUGAUCCAAAGAUUGCAGGGUUCAAGAAAAAGAAGAGUGCAGUCAAGGAUGAUUCGGCAAAGGUGUAUGAGUGUCGUUUUUGCUCCCUCAAGUUCUGCAAAUCUCAAGCGCUGGGCGGGCACAUGAACCGGCAUCGCCAAGGCAAGACGAUGACCGCAUAGUAGUGUUGUUGCACCAUAGAAAGCGUUGAUGUGACAUUGUUGAUGAGUAUCUUCUUUUUACCACUUCUUCCCCCAUUCCCGACACUAGCAGCGCCUACUGACUCAUGUUCCCAUUUUCAACUCUUUCGUUAGAGAGGGAGACGGAGACGCUCAAUCGUGCUCGUCAGCUGGUGUUCAGCAACGACGGUGCCAUCGGGUAUGUGCUGUCUCCUCUCAUUCUAUCCUUCCUCUCUUAGCAUGAGUAAGCUAGGGUUUUCAUUCUAUCUACGUGCAACACCUCUUUUCCUCCUUCAGUAGUAGUAGUACAUUGGUAGGCUGCAACGUAAUAUCAUCUUAUAUGGCACAGUUUAGGGCUAAAGAUGUCUCCUUUCCUUGAUUCAAAAACAUUGGCAUACCACUGAUCUUGUUCGUCCCUUGAAUAAUAAAAGCUUGAGGGAUCCUAGUACUGGAGGCUCACAAAUCCCUCCUGGGGGCUUCCAACAUAGAGGCGGCAGCAUCGGAGAAGCAUGUGUGCAAUUCCAACCCGUCUACCCAGGUCUCCCAAACCCGCCACCAGUGUCACAGUACCUGCACCCUUCCUCCUCCUCACGCUCGCUUCCGCAUCCACCGGCCUACCAACCUCCUCAUCCGCAUUACUACAUCGGUCAUGUCAUCUCAGGGAGUUCCCAACGCCAGCCGCGUCACCACGGCUAUAGUCCUGAUCCCAGCUUUACUUGCUAUGGAGCUCCAGUUUCUCAUAGCUUCCCCCCCGUGGAAGAAGGACGAGCACCAACAGUCAGAGGCAACCAACUCAGAUGAGAGCGUAACUGGGAUCGUAGUUAGGGACGUGUCCACCAUAACUUGCAUUGUUGAGUGAACCGUCAGCACCAGGAAUGGCCUUAACUUAUACAUCUUAAUUUGAUGGAAAGAAAAUGUCACGAAGAAUGACAACCUAAGUGAAAAGUUGUGUGGUUCAUGUGCUGUUUCUCUAACUUGCGUCUUGGUUUUUGACACUGAAGGCUGUGAAACAAGGGGUUGAUGUUAACUUCCAUGGCGGCACUGUUCUCUCUCUCUCUCUCUCUCUCUCUCCAGUUUGGUCAACUUACGAUGUGAUGCAGUUGUUAGAUGAAGGUUUGUUGGGACAAUAGGAGAAAUGGCCUAGAGAAUGAAGGCCGCAAGAGUUCCAACCCACUUGUGUAUUAUUAUUAUUAUUUAACUCCCUUGCCUUUUUAGUUUUUCGAGCAUGGCUUGUCCAAGCUUAAUUCUCCUAAGAGUUUGUGGGUGCUACCGGACACUUUAAUCGGUGAACAAAGGUUUACCAAAUAGGUGAUAAGGGCAAAGCCACCUACCCUAUACUUGCAGCUUGAGCAGUCUGUCGACACAUCCUACCAAGAAACCAAACCAAACGAGAUAAUGGUAACAAAGGAUAGCUUCUCCGUCUUCUCUACUACUGCAAGGCACGUGACCACUAGAAUCCAGGUCCCAAAUCAAUUUACUAUUGAAAAGAUGUCAUGAUUAUGGAUUGGAGGAUUCCUGCUUCGACUACAUGAAAAUUUUCGAUGAUAUCGGUCGGCUAGAGAGUUUAUCUUUUGGGCUACCUGCCUUUGUUGCCCAAUGCAGAGGCUCCCACCAAUAAGGGUGGUCAACGUUAGUAUGCAAUCCUUUCUUUUCUAAGACAUAAACAUGUUAUUUCUGCGGAUCGAACCUUUUGUUGCCAAAGUCACAUGGGAAUAACUUUCCCAUUGCACUAAAACUCCCCCUCCUUAUCUCAACUAGAUAAUUUGUUUCAUUAAACAAUUUAAUACUUCAAAUUUUCACCAGCCUAUCAAUCAAUCAAAAUUUUUCCUAUGUCAUCUUUUGGAUUGGAAGGACCUCAUGCAAAAUCCAAUGGGACACCAAAACCUGUCUGUUUGCGACCUACAGCAACUGAUGCGAGCGAACACAUGAUUUUGCAUAUAAGGCAAACAAUCAGUAGUUCAGGGAACUCUUAACAGAAAGCUAGAGGAUAUUUCGGAUCAUAAAUAAAAAGUACAACUUCAACUUCAACUACAGAAAGUUGAGACUUCACAGUAAAUAACUAACAAAAAAAUUUUAAAAAUAACCUUUUGAAGAAUGCAUGCAUUUACUUUUAUCCUACAAAGCUAAGGAAUAACUAAAUCAGCACAAUAGCUCAUGAGCUUCAAUUUAAAUGCACCAAACGCUUUUAGACACGUAUAAGAAUGCAUGCAGCAGUAUCUUCACCUAAUUCUAUGAAUAACCAAAAUGGAUUUCUUUAAAAGACUAUUAUUAACCUUUUAGCUCAAAAGCUGUAAUGCUCAGCCAAAUUAGACGGACAAAUAAGACCUUUGGCUUUCGGUCUAAUUGGAGUUCAAUUGUUUCUACUUCUUUUCCACAAGUAGAUACGGUCUAAUCUCGGUGUUAGCUUUAACUUCUACCAUAUGCAUGCUAGCAGACACUAAUAUUAUGUCACUGACCCACGAUGAAAACACAAGUGCUACUAUGAAAUGACAUUGGGAAAAAUGAAGAAUUAGCUUACUUGCAUAGCCAACAAGCUGCAACAAACUGUACACUGCUAUUCAUCGAUGAUUUCUGCACAGGAAAAAUGGCCAUUCGUUUAGAAAUUUCAGACCAAUUUCAUCUUGCUUUUGCGGUCUCAUUUUUUUUAUUAGACGAAGGAUAAACAAUAUGCAAAUACUGUUGCAACAGCGGAAGUGAAACUGUCAGAUGUUAUUAAAACCAUGGUAUAAAUUUGUUCCUCAAAUGGUGAACUUUUCGGAGCUUGUAACAGAAUAUGAUAAAAAAGAUGAAUUUGUUCCUCAAAAAAGGUUUCCAUUUUUUAUUAUUCUUUCAUGUUCAACAAGGAUGUGAUAUAUCAUGACAUUAUAUGAUGGAAGGACUGAUGCAUUAAUCUGAUAGGCCUGAAAUUAUAUGACUCAAAAUGCCUAAAUUCAACUUAAUCAUAAUAAACUUAAGUAGCUCCAUGUAAUAAUCAUGUCCAUCUUCUUCCCACUCGAUCAGAUAAUACAAUCUCCUCCACUAAAGGUUUGAGGUCCUUGACACAGCUCAAACCAAUGUGAAGUCUAGAAUCAUCCUAGUAGGGUAUGUGAGGUUUAGUCCACUGGUGGCCGCGUGCUAUGAUAAAUGACAAGACUUCACAUUUGGUGCCUAAGAGGAGGCUUGAUCAUACCAAUGCUACAUGCACUUCAGAAAGAGAAGAAAUAGCUCACAAUAAAUAAUAAGGUCGUAUGGUUUACGUAUGGCUCUGGUCUGUCCUGACAUAGAGCUGUUACACUGCAGCUUAAGAUCUGACAAGAUGAUCUAUGAAUACUUUUGACAUGGCAAUGACAAAGAUUUUGUGAUCAAAUAAUGCACAGAUCAUAUUCAUGUAGACCUAAUCAUGUACUCUUUAAACAGAGUAAUCAUUCUGACAGGUGUCACAAUGAGCUUCAAGUGUCGUCUCAUCAGAUUCAUCUUCAAGUGGAGAAUGAAAUCAGUGGAAACUUCACGUCAAAAAAAUGAAAUCCGUCCGCUAAAGGCAUAUGUCUCAUCCGAGCUUGCUUUCAUCUCAUAUAAAAGUUGAUCACUAAAGUAUCGAAAUCAGCCACAUCGGGUGGAACUUUUAGUGGCAGAAAGACCUGAAAGAAGAAACAUUUACUGGUUCUGCUCUAGCUGUAAUGCUGGGGGCCAACAAGACUUUGCAUAGGCUAAAUCAAUAUAUAUAUAUAUAAAGGUAAUUGAGUUCUGUUUAGCCCAUUUAACCUAUAGUUGCAUUACCCUUAUAGUUGAAACCAUUGCAAAUAAAUAGUACUUCACUAGUUACAAGUAUGUCUUAUCUAAAACAUGACUUAGACUAAGUCAAUCCACUGAGGUAGAGCUAUAGAUUAGAACCCUUAAUCCCUACCACUAAAAGAGUCAUCUUGAGCAUGCUAUGCUGUGACAAAAAUAGAAGAAUGUGAAAAACAGGAUGAGAAGGAGCAGAGGAAACAUGGGUAUGCACUCUUUCAUUACCCUUUCUUCAUUUCAGCGUAUACAUUUAUUUUCCUUGUGACAAAUUGGCCAGCACCAGGCAGCAUACUGGUAGUACCCGCAUAUAGAACUAAGGGAUGCAUUAACAUUAAGACAAUCUUUGUUAACCAAUUUAGAUAUAUCAAUUCAUUCAAUAUAUCUCAAUUGAAAAGAAAAAGAAGUUGUGCACAAGAAAGAAAGUUGAGAACCAAUUUAGAACAAAACUUACUUCUGUGUUUAAGAUACUCUUCCUAUGGAGGAAUCUUUUUUGGUCUAACGAUCCGAUUGACGUAGUGAGACAAAGAAAAUAUCAGGUCUAAGUGAAGGCCCUCUUGUCCAAAACCUCAUUUAAGAGAGAAAGAAAUUUGUGUGAUUUCAAAUCCAGGCUCGUCUGGGAUUUCGUCAUUAAAAAAAGGAUCUGGUUACUGUUUUAACAUUAAGCAUGUCAAACCAGGUCAACUAAAUUUGGUUCUGGGCUGGGGACAAGUCACAUGUUGUUCCAUGCUAUUUUCUUGAGGAACUGCAGAUUGCUUAUUACUGUUAAUUUUACAAAAUUUGGUCUUGGGUCCUAUUAAUUAAGGCUAUCCAAUUAUGUAGAUCAAUGCCAUACAUCAUAUUUCAACAAAAUCAAGUUCAGUUUGGGUCAUCCAAAAUAACCAUGUUUGAUGUCUGACAAGAAAUGUGUUCAAAGUCUAGGUUGAAUCCAGAUAUGUUUUUGGCAGUAGUAAAACUUUACAAAGUUUUUCAAACCCAAUCCCAAUCUGGACCUGGUUUUUUGCCAUCUACUCUUCUUGUCUGGAAUCAAGAUUGAAAGUGAUUUGUGAUUGAUGUUUUACCGAAUUAUCCUCAUAUAUCAUCCAUCAUUCAGUUCCUAAAUUGCAAAAUCUAUUAUAUAAUCAACCUAGAAGUGAUCCACUUAUCAAUCUAGAAAAUGUCAAAAACCCAUGUCCUAAAUUUGCAAAACAAAGUAGAAAAAUCAUGCAAAUUCUAGUGUUAUAUGGUUCUUGCCUUUACAAACGAUUCAUGGAUUGUUAGCUAAUGAACACCUUUACAAAGGAGCAUAGAAAAUCACCAACAAAAAGUAAAAGAACAAAAACUGAUUAAUCGAAACAAAGAUGUCAAACACUCAAUUCAUGGACUGCCAAAUAGCACAUUUCUAUUAGCCCAGGAAUGUGUGUAACGAUCUGGUGAUACACGCUACAUAAACAUUAUUUCAACAGCUAAUUCAAGAAACCCAAACCCUAAAAGAAGUGUGACAAAUAUCUAAACAUCAACGCAAAUUCAAGAAUUGCCGAUAUGUUUUCCAUAGUUAGAAGAAUUUGAAGUUAAUUGAAGUCGAUAAACACAUAUUUGGGAUCAUCAGAUUGAUGAUUGAGGAGUUGUCAAGCAAAAUACGAUCGUUUUAGUCCGAUCGCGAAAUCAGGAUAAUGGUAUUCCCAUUUCCAAGCUCGCUCUUUCCAAACCGAAGAAUUCGAUGAAAUUAUGUAAUGGUGCACUCCAAUUUCCUUUUUUAUUUUCUUCUUUUUGUUCCGAACAAGCUGAAAGCCCAGAAUUUGAGAUGAAAUGUCAUUCUGACAUUAAGAACGAAUUGAUAAUAUGAAGCAUGAAUUGGAGUGGCGAAGCAUAUGGUAUAGCAUCCCUUAUCACGAACAAUGAAGCUAACGAUUUCCCAUUUCGAAUAGAAAAUACACGGAUCAAACCAAAGAACGAGAGAGGUAAUUCUCCUACCGACCUGGAACAAGCGGCCGUCGGUUCCCGGCAAGCGGGUCCUCGAAGGCGUGGCAGAAACCUCGGCGCUCGCCGGCCUCCCCACGAAUACAUGAUACAUCCUCUCCGUGAGCCGCCCGCGCACACUCCUCAAGAACACUUCCGUCUCCAUCCCCAUCACCACAGGUCUCCCGAAUCGAUUCUCUCUCCCCCCGUUCUCCCCUGGGCUUGCUCUUCUUGUUGGUCGGUUCCUCCAACCCAACAACCUGAGGUCGAUUCUUUUCCAACGGCGCAGGGCGGCAAAAGACACGUGGCGGUCGCUGGAUGCGGAUCAUCUCCAACUACACAUAUACUCGAAGUGGCAAUUCCCGUGCCACGGUGGCCUCUGAUUUGGGCCCCACACCUAAUCACCAGAGGAGAUAUCAGCAGUUGUUCCACCAAUUCUGGCCCCACCGCGAGCCACGGCAAUUGGCAUCAUCGAUGUUAUAUAUAUAUAUAUAUAUAUAUAUAUAUAUAUAUAUAUAUAUAUAUAUAUAUAUAUAUAUACAAUGAGUUCAUUUAGAGCAUCCAUUAUAUUUAUGUGAAGUUUUAUUUGCUCAUUAACAUAACUUAGUCACUUCACAUACAAAUAAAUAAAUAACAUGCGGAAAAUUGGCACCACCAACUGGUAUUCAGGGAAGUUUCUCUAUAUUAUACCAAACUCCUUUACAUCGCUAUAGCAUCCAUGAUAUGCUUGCAUCGCAUCCAACCAGAGAACAGAGGAAUCCUUGUGUGAGACACCAGUGACUAUAUUAUAUACAAACACUACACAUAUGUGACCCACGAGCACAGCUUUGGGUUACGGGCAUCGAGUAUAUUCCCCCUCCUGCACAAAGAUUACAUGGCCAGGCAUGAUGUCCCCAUGGAUAUCUUAAACUAUCUUCAGCGCCAUAAUCCCCUGUUUUAACUGAUGAGGAGAAGGUAAUGCAUGAGCCAGAACAAGUUCUCUUUUUUUGUGUGUGUGUGUGUGUGUGUGUUCCAAAUACCAGUCUUCAGGGAGCCUUAUCCACCCACCACUGAACAUAAAUAAUAAAGUAAAAGAAAGCUAAAGUUGCGCUCGUCUCUUUCCCCCCGUCCCUCGCUUUCAUUCUUGGUCACUUUUGUCUUGCCAUUCGAUGCUCAUGAGGAAAUCCUUCACCUAUCAACUUUUUCUUCCUGACAUGGAACCCAAAUGCUCAAAGCUUCAAGUGAUCACCACAUGUCUACUGUGGUCACCUCUCCGGGUGUAUCUUUACAGUGACAAGAGGGAGGGUGGAAUGCAUAUUCUAGUCAUCAGGCAACCUAAAGCACGGCAGAUUAUACAACACUGCCGACGUUGGAGUCAUUGAACAGGGAAGAAAAGCGGGGAGGAAUCUCUUUGGAUUUUCCCAUCACAUACUCUCACUUUGGUCAUCUUCUCCUCACACCAGUGCAAUUGCUCGUGGCUGAUCUCAUGCAUCCUUAAAGUUCUGGACACAAUCUUCAUGUCUAUUAAGCCCAUCAGUAUCUCCAUCUCUUCCUCUCCCUUUAGCCUGUUCUUUUUCAAACAUCUCCUUGACUUCAACAGAUCCUUAAGCCUCAUCUUCUUCUGAAAGCAUUGUGUCAGCAUUUCAAACAAAGAGAUUAGUUAGCUAUAUAUAUAUAUAUAUAUAUAUAUAUAUAUAUAUAGNNNNNNNNNNNNNNNNNNNNUAUAUAUAUAUAUAUAUAUAUAUAUAUAUAUGACGAGAAAGUGAAAAAAGCAGACGUUAGAUGGGUCACUGCAUGAGUGAGUGGGUACUACUCACCUUUUUAUUAGCUCUUUUGAGCAGACGACGGAGAUUUGGGUCCACCGAGCUGGAUUUUCUCUUGAUGAAUGCUUUAAGAAUUUGGCAAGGAUUCUCUUUGUCUGCCUUGAGGAAGUUCAUAAAGGUUCGAAUGGCAUCCUCCAGAAUCGCCGAGAACUCGGUAGAUGAGAUCAUUUCUUCUUUGCCUUCAUCUGCUUUUGAAUCUUUUAACAUCGCAUUAAUAUUGCAGAGGAACAAAUUAGCACUCGGGGAGAUGUAAAGUGAACACACGAGAGAAGGCAGGAGGCACCUCGGAACUCAGGAACUAGGAGCAAUUUUGGAGAAGAAAUCCUCGUCCGAGCAAAGACUUGGGGCCUCCGGCCACGCUCGUAAGGCUCGUUUUCUAUGAACCGCUGCAACAGGACCUGAAACUGUUGGAACUGCUGCGCCAUCCAUGCGGUGCAAGAAGCGCGUUCACUGUUUGAUCCCUUGGCGCUCCAUUGCAGGAAAUGGUUGUAGUUCCAGUUAAGAGCUUCCCAUGCGAGGCAGAUCUGAGCCACAUAGGCACUCUCCAGUUCUUGAUAUGGAUCCCUAUUUCCCUUCUUCUUGUGUGUCGUAAAUUUGUGAACUAUCCUUCGAGAGACUGAUUUCGGUUGGUACUUCAUUGACCUAAAUGAUUCUGAAAAUUAAGGGAUAUGUAGCCUUAGCCAAUCCAUGGAGGAACAAAGCUACUUAGCAAGUACGUAAAGAUUACAUGAGGAAUGAAUGACCUGUUUCUGUGAGUUUUUGUGCACUGAUCCUGUCGAAAAACGUCAUGUCCUCAUCGUAUUUUCGGAACCAGGUGUAUUUUUCCCAGUUGGAAGAGCUCCUGCGUGAUGAAGAGGAGAAGGGGCAUUCUGUCUCCGAAUCCCUGAUGUUUGUGGAGCUUCUCCACUCCAUCGAGCUCUUCGAUGUCGACUCACUUGUGAGAGAACCACCAGAUGUGUGUUCUUCCAGCUGAAACUUUUUGCUCCCAGGAUGUGUUUGCGCGACGAUGAGGAGUUUCUGUUUCUUUGACGACUCCUCAUUCUGCUCCUCCUCCUCUUCCUUUUCAUUAUUGUGAAAGGCAUCUCCAACACAAUCUUCAUCUGUAAACAGCAUGAGCAUUAUCAAGUAGUGAGACGAGCUAGAAUUGAAGGAAGAGUUGCAUUUCCUGAUGUACCUUCGACAGACCCACAUAUGAUUGGAGUUGGAGAACUUGAUGUUCUUAUGACAUCGCUCACCGGAGAAUCAUCAUUCUCAAGUCCAGGAUUCGAUUGAUCUUCUAAAGGGGAACUGUGCGGCAAUUCUGUGACGAGGCUUUCAUCAACUUUCGAAAGGUGUUCCUGAUCUGUAGAAUCCUGUUCUUCUUCGCCAAGAAGGGUAUCGUUGAAGAUGCUUUCGUUGUAGCAAAAGAACAAUCCUUUUUCCCUGCCGAAGAUGCUGGCAGGUAACUCCUCAUCAUCGGAGUAGCACACAUCGGUUGUGGGCUUGAUCUCAGCUUCAGUGAUGAGCUGAGAACUCCUGCAACAGAAGGUCAGUAGCAAGACAGUAGAGAGAGAGAGAGAGAGAGAGAGAGAGAGAGACGUAGGUACCUUUGGUCUCCGGAAAUGGCUGCUCCUUCAAGAAGAAACGUGAACAGCUUGGUGAGGAGGAAGGAAAUGAGGUGGACGAGGAGGAGGAGGAAGCCGAGGAAGGUGCAGACAUGGAGGAGACACAUCAGGGAUUCCCCUUUGGGGGUUCGGCCAUGGCAAGAGUGAGAAACGGGUUCCCCGGGAGCUUCCAGGGCAAUCACUCGGAGAAAGGCUGGGGGAUGACUGCAGUCAUUCAUUUAUGAGGAGGGCGUGGAAUUUGCUUUGCUUUGCUUUGCUGCGAUCACUUGCUGAGAAGACCACAGUGACGAACUGCUUUAUUUAAGGGAAGUUGGAUGAUACGAACCAAACUCUAAGCUUGACAUGGCCUCUACCUCUUGGGUGCUGCAUUACGUAACCCAAUCCGAUGGACUCGACCAUUACAAGUUACUCCUUCGCGGCCCAAGCAUGCUGCAAGUUGAUUCGUCUCUAAAAUAAAGCAGGCACGCAUCACCGGAGACUCGUGGCACAAAGCUUUUUGGAACUCCGACUAAUUCACGCAAUACAAGUUAGCUUUAUGGCAUUUCCUGCAUUGCUUUUUGCCAACUUUUGAUCCACGUAUAUCUCAUCAAUCUGCUGCAGAAAAGCCUCAGAAAUAGAGUUCAAAGGACUCGAGAAUCUGCAAGCGACAGCAACACUGGUGUCCAACCCACAUACCAAGACGCAGGGGAAGGUGUGGCGCCACAUCGGAGUGACGUGGAGGCAGAGGAAUGGGUUGCACGUGUCACUGGGAUCCUCCAUGAUCUCAGGAAAACUGGAGGCAGAGGAAUCAGGCCAUAAAUAACGGUCCCACAACCUGACACUCUAUUUUAUGGCUGCAUUGGUAUCGACAAAUGCGAGAUCUAAUAGGAACGCAAGUGCUUUUUCUGUUCUGUUUCUUGUUUCUUUUUGUGCUUACCACUUCGGUAAAGGAAUAAGCCGCUUGUUGUGCUUCGUACUGUGCUUCUGAGAGUGACAGGAUUCGCGGUCUUUACUCUUUCGCCUCUAUCUACCCUCAGGAUUCAUUCUUCCCAGAUCGACAUCUGAAGGAUCGGAGUGCGAUACGUAUAAUGGAGGUAGAACAGAUGAACUAAACGGGAUGAUAGACUGGGUGGGCACGUUGUGAGCGCUUAUUGAUGCUUGGAAAUCUUCUUGGGAUACAUCAUGUGCACCAUCUAUCUCUGCGGAUAGAUACGUCGGUGGUGAUGAACAAACGAAGCAACCAACGGCUCAACGAUGACUUCCGCCGUACGGCGCCGACAGUCUCGCCCUGGGAUGAAGGCGAAACCAGACUCCGGUGGAGGUCGCAUGGAAGCCCACAGCGCAUGGAGGGAUUUCCUGUGUUCGAGAAGCACUAGUCAUUUUACCGGGAUACAAUCCAUCAUACCAAAAUGUUUGCUGUUCCUCUUCGAGAAACCUACGGCUCCUCACCUUCGAAUGCCUGCCUUUAAUACUCCACCCCUCCCCAUCCGUUCUCAAGCCAUCCUCUUCCUCCACCCACAAACUCUGUUUGGCCAUUCUAAAGCAGUAGCAUUACAGAAAGACAGAGGAGAGGGUCUGUUAUUGAUACCGAUAUUUACAUAGAGACGCCGAGACAGAUAAGGAUGAGCUGUAAUGGGUGCCGGGUGCUGAGGAAGGGAUGCAGCGAUGGAUGCACCAUCCGCCCUUGCCUGCAGUGGAUCAAGAGCCCCGAGGCCCAGGCCAAUGCAACGCUCUUCCUCGCCAAGUUUUAUGGACGCGCCGGCCUCCUCAACCUCAUGGACGCCGGCCCGCAAAACCUCCGCCCCGGUAUAUACAUACAUCUAUAUCCAUGCACGUCUGCCACUCCUUUGUUUUCAGUACGAGGACAAGGAUUGCUAAUGUCGUCACCGUUGUUUCGGUUCAGCCAUUUUCCGGUCUCUGCUGUAUGAGGCAUGCGGCCGGAUCAUAAACCCGAUCUAUGGUGCCGCCGGCUUGCUCUGUUCCGGCACCUGGUAGCUUUGUCAAGCGGCUGUCGAUGCUGUUCUCAAGGGAGCACCCAUCGCCCAAGCCGCCUCUUCUUCUGCCUCUGCCUCCGCCGCAUGUGUGUCACAUGUGCCACCACUCAUAUAAUUGACUUGCAAGACACAUAUGACUAGCAAAAUUCUCUUGUCUUGUUGAGUUAGGUUAGGAAAGAUUUUAGUAUAAAUUGUUAUGGUUUAAACUUAUGUAAUUAUAGAUUAGGCAAGCGAUGAAUUGGUGGUCGGAAGUCCAACUAAGAGUUUGGGCUAGACUGAUUCUAGAAGAAUUAGGAUCGGUGUGUUUGGCAUUAGAGCGUUCGACAUGAUUAGACUCCGUAUGUCCAUUUGGCCCAUUGGGUUCUUUAUGGUUUAGCUCGGAUGGUCUUACAAAGUUUUCUUGAGACAUAUUGAUAGUCCUCCUUCUAGCACUAAUUUAUUAGUGUAUGUUCUAAUUAUCUGAUCUGGGAUGAUGAUUCAAAUUCAACCGAGGCUCGUUCCAAGUCAAUCUCAAUUCAUGUCAAAGUUAAAAAGACGUUAUGGACAUAUGCUCAUCCGAUGAUCAAAAUUAGUUUUUGGGUUUGAUUCGAUCAAACUAAUCGAUCAAUACUGAAGCAAAGCAAUGUAUGUCGGAGCAUAUCUGGGUCCUUCUUCUUUUGUGUGACCUUGAAAUCGAUUACUCUCAGAAUCGUUGAUGAUGGGAGGGAAUACGUGGUAUUUCGGGCGAACUAACAUCAUUCAAACCUGGCAUCCAUAGACUAAUCACAUCAAUCAUAGGGUUCAUAUGGUCGAUCGUUUGGCCACGUACCACCACCCGUGAUCUAACUGUCGCAUAAUCCUUGUGACCUUCGACGAUAGCCCCGUCGACUAUGACGACAUUGUGUGUGACACAUGACUCUUCACCUAUCAGUACCAAAGCACAAAAGCCAUUUGUAGCGUCAUCGUUCUGCCAAACUCGAAACAAGGAACAGCGGUUGAAUGCUUAUUUCUGCACGCAUCGACAGUUGAGCCGUCGUCAAUUUGUGCUGCGCAUCCUAUCCUAUCAAGGAGACCUUCACGUCUUUGACAUAUUAUUCCCCGUGGGAUAUAUAGCAUUCAAAAUGGUGCUGUAAAUACCGACUGUGUAAGUUGUUGUUUUAUGAUUAAGAUACCUCCUAUAUUUGCUGGUUCUCAACUCCGUUAAGCAGUUUGAGAAACAUGCCUUUUUUUACCUCAUCCCUGCGGGAGGAUGCCUCUGGCUUUUCUCUCCUUUCUGCUUGAAUGUAAUGUGUCAAACGUGCAUAAAUGGGGUACAACAAACAUCAUGACACAAUGAAGGAGACAAUAGCUUCGAAUAAGAUCGCUCUCACACGAUCUUGAUCUUAGGAGGGUGAGUGCGUCUCGUCCUCGAGAUGUUAGUCAACGAACAAGGAGGAAAUCCGGUGAUACGUCGGAGUGCAAUUGAACAGGAAACAACAUUGGUUGUGAUACAGUGGCCUUUGCUGCCCGGUCUUCUCAGGCAAAAACAUGAUGUGUGUGUGUGUGUGUGUUUCUUGUUAUCGUCCGUCAAGUGAUUGAAAUCUUAGUUACAUAAAAAAAACAAUCAUUUCACGAGCAGCUGCUGCUUCUCUGAAUAAUUUCAUAAAGCUUUUGGUGAACUUCGAUUGCAAUUCUUUCGAUUUAAUCCUACAUCGGAAGCGAGCAAGGAUUUGAAUUGAUUUAUAAGGUUCUAUGGUUGCUUGGGAAUUGAUUACAACGCAAAGUGUGGAUUGACAUAAAUAGAAAGAUAAUACAGGGGGGCGUUUCCACCCCUCAUAAUAAUGGUUCCUUUUGCCACAGGAGAGUCGACAUGACGACAAAAUGUAUUCGAUCCACAUAUAAUUGCUGUAAGAGUUCCUAACCAAUACUAGUCGUGAUGGGAUUGCAUCGCAUAUAUGGAUGAGACUCGAAUCGAAUGACAAGGAAGCAUGGGGAUGAGAACUCGUGGAGGCAGUGACUGAACAUGAUACGUUCUCCUGUCACCGACGAAGGGAUGAAGAAGCAAUUUGGAUCUCACAUCCUAUCCUACUCCUCUCAACAAUCAUUCCUCUUCCUCCUCCGUCGAUUCGUUAACAUUGCAACGUAAGAAAGAACAGCUGAACUGUAAACCUAUAGCUCUAUACUCGACGAGAGUUUCUGAACCAGAAUCAAGCAGAGCAACAGAGGAGGCUCUCUGCCGGUGACCUCGUUAACGGACAGAAACUGGCAUAGAUUCGAGGCAUGGCAUCGACUCUAACCCGGUCCGGUAAUUUUCAGGUGGAAUUAAUCGAUAACAGUAGGAGGAGGAGAAGUGAGGGCCACCACUCGUUCAUGUUCAUGGAGAUAAGGUAAGCCACUGCAGACAUGUGGCUCGUGAGGAAGGAUGGCAAACGAUAAGGAUGGCAUCCGCGCCCCCUCGUUAAUGUGUGGUGCUCAGGGUUUGUGCGAUGUCGCCUUCUGGAGAACCAACGUACAAGAUGAGCCACAGGAUGGUAAAUAUCAGGAGGGAAGGCGCGGUGGUGUUGUAUGUAUAUAUAGGGCCGGAGUUGGGAGUGGUGAGGCCUCACGGCGACGAGUCUUCUUCUUGAUCUCGGGUCGAAUUAGGUGAGUGUCAGAAAGAGGAAUCAACGAUGGUUUCCUCCAUGAUGGUCUCCUCGGCUGCCACCUUCACCCGGGCUUCCCCGGCUCAAUCCAGCAUGGUGGCGCCGUUCACCGGCCUCAAGUCCGCCUCCGCCUUCCCUGUCACCAGGAAGCCCAACGCCGACCUCUCCCACCUCCCCAGCAAUGGCGGCCGAGUUCAGUGCAUGAAGGUACGCACGUACAAGGCUCGUGGCUCGAGUCGGAAACCUCUGUUACCGAGAUAGCCGUUACGAAUCAUAUACUGUGGAUGUAAUUCUUACGACAGGUGUGGCCGAUCGAGGGCAUGAAGAAGUUUGAGACCCUGUCCUACCUUCCGACACUGAAGGACGAGGAGUUGCUGAAGCAGAUCGAGUACCUUCUCCGCUCCAAAUGGAUUCCCUGCUUGGAGUUCUGCCCCGUAAGUAACUUCACCUGCCCCAUGGUGGGCAUCCGGUAACCUUGAUAUCCAGCAUGCAUACCGGGGAUUGAAGUCGAUCGUAAUGACCAUAACAGAAAGGGUUCGUGUGGCGCGAGAACCACCGGUCGCCGGGGUACUACGACGGGCGGUACUGGACCAUGUGGAAGCUGCCCAUGUUCGGGUGCACCGACGCUGUGCAGGUGGCGAAGGAGGUGGAGGAGUGCAAGAAGGAGUACCCCCACGCCUUCAUCCGCAUCAUCGGCUUCGACAACAACCGCCAGGUGCAGUGCAUCAGUUUCAUCGCCUACAAGCCGACCGGCUACUAGACGAUUCGGAUCCGGCUCUUCGGAUUUGCUUUCUUUGGUUCAGUGUUGGAUGUUUCCCCUUCUCUCGUUGUCUCCUCUACGCAACCGCCGACAGUGCAGCAGCGCACUGAGGCCGUCUAUGUUUUGUUUCCCCAAGAACGCGGAGCUUGUAUGUUAAGAAGUUUAUUAUGGACGUUCGCUUAUUUAUAAUAAAGGCUACCCAAUGUGUUUGAUUUUACCUGUAUCCGUCUGCUGUGGGUGGAAGAAUCCCGUACCGUAGUCGGCAGACGUGUGGUGUGGGGGUUGAAGCUUUGCUCUGGCCCAACCUAAUGUUAUCUGGGCUCUGUAUUGGGCCGAUCUCGGCCUACUUGGACGAUCAACCGCUGGGUCAACGGUCAAACACCGCGCGCAUGUCUUCUUCUUCUCCCUCCCCUACUAAUUUAAUGGAAAUAGAUAUAUGGACCCCCAAAAAAAAAAAAAAAAAAAUGUCAUCAUCUCGCAUCCGACGCACCAACAAACGCGCCGUGGCAAAAGCAGUACGAGAGGUUUCCUAUCGUCGUCGGUCGUGAAGAGUAGCAAAGUAGAUCGAGCCCAAGCGAGGAACGUCACGUGCGAGCAUAAUUCGUGUCGGCCCUUCGCUCGUGGUGGGGUACCGCCGCGGUGCCCGGUACCGUGUCGGAUGAUGUAUAUUAAUGAAGCCAACCGUGUGUGAUAUCUCAACUCAUGCUGUAAUCACCGUUUGAAUAGUUUGAUGAACGGUGUCCAUAUCCACAGCAUGCGUGACACAUUUGGUACCUACCCAUUAAAAUACAAUACCAUUCAGAGCACUCUCUCGAUUUAUUUUACUUUUUCUAUUAUUCUUCUUCUUCUUCUUCUUUUUUUCCUUUGGAUAAAUCCUCCUCCGACUCCCUUCUUCCCCAUUCCUAUCUCCUUCCCCUCUUCGGAUUCUCUCUCUCUCUCUCUCUCUCUCUCUCUAGUAGGGAGGCGGAUAAGGUACAUAAAAAUCCGGUCUUUGCCUCCUGCGCUUCUUUUUCUUCCCUUCUUCUUCGAUUCUGAGGGGUGAUCGGCUUCUUUUGUGGGAGAUCCCUCUCGUGGUGUCGCGCGCCGGUGGUUUUCCAAACAGAGUCGGGAUUUUUACUGGUUUUUGGAGUUUUCCUUCUUCUCGAAAUUUCGCACCCUCCUGCUUUUAUGGGAAACAGUGAAAUGUUCAAACUUGCCUGCAAAUACGUCCGAGUUUUCGUAGCUGCGGCGUUGUUUCUACCGGAUUCAAACGGAGAAAACCGCUUUUCUUGUUGGCUAAUUUAGUUGUCACGACAGGCGUUGCCAUCGUAAAGAUUGGGCGAACAUGAACCGCUGCGCGAUGCAACAGAACCCUUUCGCCGCCUACGAAGAGAUGAGGACCGCUUUCGCCGCCGCGGAAAGGAAGCCCCCUGUCUUCUGCCCGAAGCCCCGGCGGCUCAGCCCGCCCGCUGGCGUCGCCGAUCCGAUCUGGCCCCUCCGUUGGCACUCGAGGUUGACAUAUAUAACAACCCCUCCUCUGCUACGACACCGCAAAAGUUUCCCCUUUUCGUGUAUCUGAUUCCACCUCUCUCUGUCUCUCUCUUCUGCUCUUCUCAGUCGUCAAGCAGAUUUCUCCGAUUCGAACGCCGUGGCGGACCUUCUUGACAUCUUGCUCGCAAAGGUGAGAUUUUUUGUUGACGUUGUAAUAACAUGUGUAUUUGAUGUAGCUGAUACCGAAGAAAAUAGAUCUGGAAAACCUCUGUUAUUGACGUCUAUUAUCACGAUUUGUUCGCAGGAUGGUGAAGAACAGAACCGAGAGGCUUCUUCGCCGCCCUUCUUCUGCGGCUCGCCUCCAGACCGUGCGGCAAACCCGGUCGUCCAUGACGCCCGUUUCGGCGAGGACCGUCCGCCGCUGGCGCCGUUCGCCCCUGUGCAACCGACCCAGUCCGUCACGCCGAUGUCCCCCAAGCACGCCAAGUUCGGGCUCCUGCCGGCGGCCGUGCGGGUCGAGGGUUUUGAUUGCCUCGAUCGCGGCUGCAGCAGCAUCGCUGCUGUGGCCUGAACGCCCGCAUGCGCCUCCGAGCUUUCUUUUGGAGCGCGGUGAGAGGAAGAGUGAGAGGAAGGGAGAAUUGACAUCAACAAAUCAAAGAAACCAGCUGUAGGAGAAGAACAAGUUGGUAAUCUGGGAAUGCGUUUUGGCUCUCCAUGUAAACUGUACAUCUUACUAGUGGUGCACCAAUGUUGUGUACUAUUUGUGUGGGAGAAUUGUAUGUAGAUAUCAAAAUAAGGAAGAUAGAGAGUUAGGAGGAGGAGGAGAAGGAAAGCCAAGUUUUUUUGUGUUUUGUUUUGAUCCAUAUGGACGGUAAGAGGUUCUAUUUCAUCCUGUGCUGAAAUAUUCAUCAUCUUGUAUAGAACUCUUAGGAGGAAAUCCUCGAAUCAUGAAAUUGUGUAUCUAUUCAUCAUGUAUAAAAUUUUGUAUUCCUUUUCCUCUCUAUGUUUAUGGUGCCUCUUGGAGCUCUCGAGACGGUGGUGUUGCGAUUGAUGUGGCUGCCACCAGCGAAAAGAUGUUGCGCUUAGUGUUAAGAGCAUCGUUGGACGGAGAUGACUGGAGACGUGGCUUCGUGUUGGAAUAAUGUCAUCUUAUCAGAGCAGAUAUGGUCAAUAUCGUCGACUGAUACGAGAGGCGAUGGGUAAGGAGGAAGAGGUGGAGGAUAAGAAGGAAAUGGGGGCAGGAGGGCCCAGCAAAAGGGGUGUGAGGUCAUGUCUUCUCCACCGAGCUGUCUCUGUUCAAGUGGCGCUGUCGCGAAGAAAAAAAAUAACGAAGUCCAUGCCACCACCAUUCUUUGAAUUCUCCACAUGUGUUCGUCCGUGAUGACUGACUAAUUCAACAACGGAUGGAUCGACUCCGAGACGGACUAAAUGUUCUGUGCCUAACGAAGGAUGGACACAAGUGGAUAAUGCUUUGACAAAGGUGGCUAAUUGGCACGCGAUUUCCAGGGUCUUCUGUAUGCACAGAGUCAUGAGCUGUAAUAGGCCAAUGUCGUGAACUAUAUAAUAAAUACAUCGAUGGAAGUCAUGAGCAAGUGGGGAAAAGAAAAGCCUCGGCGAUUUCUUUCUACCCGUUGCCGUCCUGCUUUGCGUCCGACCGUCUCAUUCCAUCCCGCAUGAGAUACGGUGCUGUCGGAAGAGAUUCGGACUCGCAUUAGGUUCCGAUCUCUCCGAGCGUUCGUUCAGACACAUCGCCAGGGAAAAGAAAAAGAGUAGUAGAAUCCAUCCAACUUGUGCUUGCCAAAUAAGCAGAUAAGAGGAACGAAGGCUGGGUUCACAAGCAGUCAACGUGGCCACUUUCCACACCACGGCCUUCGUCCGCAGACCAUUCCUCAUCCCAUCCAAGUGAGUCCAAAAUCUCCACUGCUCACCUCAGGCGUGAAUGCAGAUAAAGAGGAAACAAAGCGGACGUGUCCUCUGCGGAACAUGUGGUCCGCCAUGCACGUAUCCCCUGUUACUCUUGGCCUCGGCGAGACGACGUGCCGAUCCAUGGGUGGAAGAGAGACGGAAGGAAUAGGAGAGAUCCCACGACGUGCAAUGUUUCAUCGCCCACCGUGCUGCACUCGCACAUGGUCUGCGGCUUCUCCCCGGCGCAUGGAAACCAAAUAUGGGAUCGGUGGGAGAAACAGGAUCGGAAACCUGUCUCCACGGUACCACUUUCCUUCCGGUACCCAACCGAUGAAGGGAUGCGUAGAGAUCGUAAUCGAAGCAUCUGACUGCAGGAACGCUUAGAGAAUUCACUCGUUGCAAGCACCAUAGCCUCGUCCUCGUACCAUGCCAUUCUCGAUGAAGGAAUCAGAAACUGGGCGAAGCGAAGGACAUGCCACGUAAAGCAGAAGAACAGGGCACAAAGAAAGGAUUCCGGUGGAGAAUAAAGAGGGAGGAGAGUCUGGUCCAUUGCUUUUGUCGACAGAUGGGUAUCGUUUGAGACCCACCUGGAUCGCUAUGGUGAUGAUAGAUAGAUAGAUAGAUUCUUGAUGUUUAUUCUCCCAUCAAAUCAGUAACAGGGAGGAGUGAAACGGAGCGAGAGAGAGGAGGGACAACACAUUUACGGAGAACCUACAUGUGUCGAGACAGGAAAACAAUGACAGGCUACAGGUGGGUUGCGUACACUCAAACCUUUGUCGCCGCAACUGGAUGCGAAUGGGAGCUGUCGGCGAAGCAAGCAAUCGGACCUGAGUUGGCUCACCGCAGAUGCCUAAUGAUUGACGCGGAAAAGGCCAAAUCGAAGAGAUUUGGUUUGCACGAUUGGGGUGUGCAGCCAACUCGGGUUGAGUCACCUGCUGCGGCGCCUUUGAUUAGCUCUUCCUCUGGUGGGGGUGGACGUGUCCACCUGUGGCCAUAAGACCCGCCGCGAGUGGUGGUCAAAACAAAGAAGGCCUUGGGAACGACGGAGGCCGACUUUAACGUGGCAAACGGCUGUGUGCCACCUUUACUGAUGUGCCCAAAUCUUUAACAAAAAUAAAUAUUCGUGGACCGCUGGGGUGCUGAGAGCAUCUGCUUUUUAUAAUACGAAAAGAAAAGCCUGUUCGUACGACAAUCUUACUCUGGCGGAGUGGCUGAAGGAACAUUCCUUUUUCUUCUUAUAUAUAUAAUUACUUUCUUCGUGUUCGUGAGCUCCAACUCAGAAACUUCCCUUCGUUCCUAUCUUUACACAUGUUUGCCUGAAUAGAUGCUUGGAGGUGCUGUCAACGUAAGAACGCUUGAAACUGAUAAAAGGAUGGGGCUCGAUGUCAAACAUCAUAAGAGAAAAACUAGGUCAUGUCGUCUAGGAUUAAUGUUCUUUACGAUUAAGCAUGCGAGUCCUUUCGAAAUCAUGAUCGAGAAAAGUCCAAAAGGAUAAGCUUAGCCAUCGUGUAUCAAUGAUUCUUUACGAUUAGGCAUGCGAGUCCUUUCGAAAUCAUGAUCGAGGAAAGUUCAAAAGGAUAAGCUUAGCCAUCGUGUAUCAAUGGUUGCUCUAAUUUAUGAUCACAUGAGGGGGGUUACCUUACAUGCGUGUCGACUCCAAGUGGUGGCUCACGAUUAGGGUGAGUCAUCGAUCUAAUGCUUGUGUCAUUGUUUUUCCUAUCAACACCUAUAGUUUUUUCUAAUAUCAUCAUAUUUUUAAUAUAUUUUAAAACACUAAUAUCUCCUGAUAAAAGUCUAAUAUACAAAAGAGUAAAAUUAUUUAUUUCAUUAAAUUUUCAUAAUAAAAUAGUAAAAAUGGAUGACAUCUUUGUUCAAAUUUUUAUCAUAAAAAAUUUUAGAUUCUGAUGCCACUUUUAUAUCCUACGAAGAGUUAGCAUUUUUUAUUUCUUCAUAAUAUUUUUAAUUUUUAUUAGACUGUGUUGAACAAGGAGGUGUUUCAUCCUCCUCUUCUAUUCAAUUAUUGAACACAACUAUUCUUUCCAUUAAAUUUUUAUAAUAAAAAUUAAAAUUUAAUCGAGCUAUUUUUUUAAAAAAAUAAAAAAAAAUAGAUGAGAAAAAGUAAUAGCGACCCCUCCAACCAACCCCUCAGCACACGACAACAUGAACAGACUAGUCUAAACGCAAAAGUAAUAUUGACCCGUUACACUAAUUUGCUUUUGGUGGGUUGUCCGUACGGACAUCGGUGGGUAUAAGGCACGCAGCCCAUGUGGGGGUCGACUGCAGAAAUAACUCCGUCCUCGGCGACGAAGCUGAAGCUGAAGCUGGCAAUUGUUUUCUCAGAAUCAGAAUAUUCAAUCGGCCACCAUAAAUCAAAUGAAUAGGAAGAACAAAAGAAGCACAGACCAGCGGUGGUGGGAAGGUGAAGGUCGUGAUCGUCGCCGUAAAUUUUAAUAGAAACGAGCGAAGAAAAGAAAAUAUUUCGAAAUUGGACAAACAAUGGCUCCUUAAUUUAUUAAGUAGCGACACGCCGGUGACUGUGCGGGAGCGGGAGGAGGAGGUGGAGGUGGAGCUCCGCACGACGGAUUCGCCUCCGACCGCCCCUCCCUCAUUAUUUCGUCUGUCGGUCACGCACGGCUGUGGUCCGCACCUCUCUCUCUCUCUCUCUCAGACACGUGACCCCCCGCUUAUCCGCUCCAAAGCCGCGACGCGAACCGGACGCGCUGCGUCUGCCACGUUGCUGCCGGCCCCUCGUAACGUAGCCACGUGUACUCUUUAGCCGGGUUCGACCCGGCUCGGGUAGCCAUGCCUUUCGAGCGACGACUCGGCCCGUCACGAGUCCUCACACCGCCCCACCCACGACGACGACGACGACAGAUAUAGAUACGUCGCCGAACCCAGUACGUUCCUGCCGUGUCGAAGACGUUUCGGUCCGUGACGCGCCCGUGGCGACCAACAUGCCUAGCGUUAAUAGCGACGGGUGUUACUCCUCUUUCGGCUUAAAAUCACCGGAGUAAACAGAUCCGGAUUCGACGCGUCGAGUUGAUGGCUGCGUGCAUUUAGGGGAAGGUCUGGUGCUCGCACCACGCCUCUUUGAUUCAUUCCAUGCAUGCUUUUGACGGACGCACGCGCCAAUGAACGUCGAGAUUCGCGACGGACAGAAUCGCUGAGUGGGUCCGCCGCGGGGCCUCCAUGUUUGGCCAUUAUUGAUUAUUAGAGGUGGGUAGGCGCGGGCAGCGAUUGGGUUUCCUCGUUUCCUUUUUUUUCUUAUUCCUUCCUUUCCGUGGGCGAUUUGGUUACCACCGCAUCACCCAUCGAGCUGACAAAGAAAGAUAUUGAUGCCCACCCUGAAUAGCCUUUUUCUUUUUUCUAAUCUUUCUUUGGCGCUGUUGAGGUCAAAUAAAAUUAUAUUAACAUCAUGAUCGUUCGUUUACCCGCGGAUGGUGGAUGAUGGCAUGGGAGUUAUCCUACCAAUAUGUUAGCGGCUACGAUUCCUAAUUUAAUCUUCCAAGUUAUCCUACCCCAACAGGAGGUCAAACUCGACAACGAGAGGGAGGAUAACGUCGAACGUUUCUCACCGUUCAAAUCCAGAGGAUAGAGAAGGGAGAAGAAUAAAAAAAACAAAAAAGGAAGAUGCGCCCAAAUCCAGCCGAGCCGAGAAGACCAAGCCAAACCACGUACCGCC
rnacentral:lncRNA from 1 species